rnacentral:rRNA from 1 species
GACAGAGGGUGCAAACGUUGUUCGGAAUUACUGGGCGUAAAGCGCGUGUAGGCGGCCCUGUAAGUCGGGUGUGAAAUCCCACGGCUCAACCGUGGAAGUGCAUUCGAAACUACAGGGCUAGAGUUCUGGAGAGGAAGGUGGAAUGCUUGGUGUAGAGGUGAAAUUCGUAGAUAUCAAGCGGAACACCGGUGGCGAAGGCGGCCUUACUGGACAGUAACUGACGCUGAGACGCGAAAGCGUGGGGAGCAAACAGG